GGAUGUGAGGGCGAUCUGGCUGCGACAUCUGUCACCCCAUUGAUCGCCAGGGUUGAUUCGGCUGAUCUGGCUGGCUAGGCGGGUGUCCCCUUCCUCCCUCACAGCUCCAUGUGCGUCCCUCCCGAAGCUGCGCGCUCGGUCGAAGAGGACAACCUUCCCCGAUAGAGGAGGACUGUUCUUCCGUCAAGGGUAUACGAGUAGCUGCGCUCCCCUGCUAGAACCUCCAAAAAAAAAAAAAAAAAAAAAAAAAAAAAACUCCUGCAUUACUUUCCUACUGCUGCUGUAACAAAUUACCAGAACUUUGUA
rnacentral:snRNA from 1 species